GAGACGGCUGGAGCCCGAGGACGAGCGCGGAGCCGCGGGCCGAGCGGGGGGCGGGAGACAGGAAGGAGGGAGGCGAGCAGAGGGAAGGGGAAGAGGUCGGGGAGCGAGGGCGGGAGCGGUCGCGGUCGCGAACGAGCAAGCAAGUGGGCGAGAGGACGCCCUCCCCUGGCCUCCAGUGCCCCGCUUCCCUCGCCGCCGCCCCGCCAGCAUGCCCGGCGUGGCCCGCCUGCCGCUGCUGCUCGGGCUGCUGCUGCUCCCGCGUCCCGGCCGGCCGCUGGACUUGGCCGACUACACCUAUGACCUGGCGGAGGAGGACGACUCGGAGCCCCUCAACUACAAAGACCCCUGCAAGGCGGCUGCCUUUCUUGGGGACAUUGCCCUGGACGAAGAGGACCUGAGGGCCUUCCAGGUACAGCAGGCUGCGGAUCUCAGACAACACACAGCUCAUAAGUCCUCCAUCAAAGCUGCAGUUGCAGGAAACACUUCUACCCCCAGCUGCCAGAGCACCAACGGGCAGCCUCAGAGGGGAGCCUGUGGGAGAUGGAGAGGUAGAUCCCGUAGCCGGCGGGCGGCGACGUCCCGACCAGAGCGUGUGUGGCCCGAUGGGGUCAUCCCCUUUGUCAUUGGGGGAAACUUCACUGGUAGCCAGAGGGCAGUCUUCCGGCAGGCCAUGAGGCACUGGGAGAAGCACACCUGUGUCACCUUCCUGGAGCGCACCGACGAGGACAGCUAUAUUGUGUUCACCUAUCGACCUUGCGGGUGCUGCUCCUACGUGGGUCGCCGCGGCGGGGGCCCCCAGGCCAUCUCCAUCGGCAAGAACUGUGACAAGUUCGGCAUUGUGGUCCACGAGCUGGGCCACGUCGUCGGCUUCUGGCACGAACACACUCGGCCAGAUCGGGACCGCCAUGUUUCCAUCGUUCGUGAGAACAUCCAGCCAGGGCAGGAGUAUAACUUCCUGAAGAUGGAGCCUCAGGAGGUGGAGUCCCUGGGGGAGACCUAUGACUUCGACAGCAUCAUGCAUUACGCUCGAAACACAUUCUCCAGGGGCAUCUUCCUGGAUACCAUUGUCCCCAAGUAUGAGGUGAACGGGGUGAAACCUCCCAUUGGCCAAAGGACACGGCUCAGCAAGGGGGACAUUGCCCAAGCCCGCAAGCUUUACAAGUGCCCAGCCUGUGGAGAGACCCUGCAAGACAGCACAGGCAACUUCUCCUCCCCUGAAUACCCCAAUGGCUACUCUGCUCACAUGCACUGCGUGUGGCGCAUCUCUGUCACACCCGGGGAGAAGAUCAUCCUGAACUUCACGUCCCUGGACCUGUACCGCAGCCGCCUGUGCUGGUACGACUAUGUGGAGGUCCGAGAUGGCUUCUGGAGGAAGGCGCCCCUCCGAGGCCGCUUCUGCGGGUCCAAACUCCCUGAGCCUAUCGUCUCCACUGACAGCCGCCUCUGGGUUGAAUUCCGCAGCAGCAGCAAUUGGGUUGGAAAGGGCUUCUUUGCAGUCUACGAAGCCAUCUGCGGGGGUGAUGUGAAAAAGGACUAUGGCCACAUUCAAUCGCCCAACUACCCAGACGAUUACCGGCCCAGCAAAGUCUGCAUCUGGCGGAUCCAGGUGUCUGAGGGCUUCCACGUGGGCCUCACGUUCCAGUCCUUUGAGAUUGAGCGCCACGACAGCUGUGCCUACGACUAUCUGGAGGUGCGCGACGGGCACAGUGAGAGCAGCACCCUCAUCGGGCGCUACUGUGGCUAUGAGAAGCCUGAUGACAUCAAGAGCACGUCCAGCCGCCUCUGGCUCAAGUUCGUCUCUGACGGGUCCAUUAACAAAGCGGGCUUUGCCGUCAACUUUUUCAAAGAGGUGGACGAGUGCUCUCGGCCCAACCGCGGGGGCUGUGAGCAGCGGUGCCUCAACACUCUGGGCAGCUACAAGUGCAGCUGUGACCCCGGGUACGAGCUGGCCCCAGACAAGCGCCGCUGUGAGGCUGCCUGUGGCGGAUUCCUCACCAAGCUCAACGGCUCCAUCACCAGCCCGGGCUGGCCCAAGGAGUACCCCCCCAACAAGAACUGCAUCUGGCAGCUGGUGGCCCCCACCCAGUACCGCAUCUCCCUGCAGUUUGACUUCUUUGAGACAGAGGGCAAUGAUGUGUGCAAGUACGACUUCGUGGAGGUGCGCAGUGGACUCACAGCUGACUCCAAGCUGCAUGGCAAGUUCUGUGGUUCUGAGAAGCCCGAGGUCAUCACCUCCCAGUACAACAACAUGCGCGUGGAGUUCAAGUCCGACAACACCGUGUCCAAAAAGGGCUUCAAGGCCCACUUCUUCUCAGUCUUGGAGGGGGCAGGGGACCGACACUCACAUCUAUCAGGCCUGGAGUUACUGCUCUGCCCCCAUGCCCUGGUCGACACUGUGCCCGCCCCACCCUCAGCCCUGCACGGAGACACACACGCCCACACGCACACACAUGUGCACACACAUUGCCCCAUCGCACAAGAAACCUGCAGAGGACCCCCACUGGGGGCAUCGAGGCUCAGCCCUCAGGGCCCGGGGCAUCUGACUCUGGCCCCCCAGGAGGGGAGCUAUUUGGACUUUUGGGACACCCACCGAGGAGACCCUAAGCCAAGAAGGAGAAGAAAGAGCCUGAAGACCUUCAGUCUGACCCCUGCCACCUUCCGGGGCAUUUGGGCACUGUAGGAAAAGAGGCCAGCUCUGCAGCCCCCUCGGGGACGCCCCCACCAGCUCAAAUUCCGAGUGCAGAAAAGAAACCGGACCCCCCAGUGAGGCCUGCCAGGCCUCCCGGACCCCUUGUUACUCAGGAACCUCACCUUGGACGGAAUGGGAUGGGGGCUUCGGUGCCCACCAACCCCCCACCUCCACUCUGCCAUUCCGGCCCACCUCCCUCUGGCCGGACAGAACUGGUGCUCUCUUCUCCCCACUGUGCCCGUCCGCGGACCGGGGACCCUUCCCCGUGCCCUACCCCCUCCCAUUUUGAUGGUGUCUGUGACAUUUCCUGUUGUGAAGUAAAAGAGGGACCCCUGCGUCCUGCUCCUUUCUCUUGCAGUCUGCUUGUCCAUGUGUCUAUUUUUCCACUUGUCCAUCUGUCCAGUAAGCAGACAAGGACGAGUGCUCCAAGGAUAACGGCGGCUGCCAGCAGGACUGCGUCAACACGUUCGGCAGUUAUGAGUGCCAAUGCCGCAGUGGCUUCGUCCUCCAUGACAACAAGCACGACUGCAAAGAAGCCGGCUGUGACCACAAGGUGACAUCCACCAGUGGUACCAUCACCAGCCCCAACUGGCCUGACAAGUAUCCCAGCAAGAAGGAGUGCACGUGGGCCAUCUCCAGCACCCCCGGGCACCGGGUCAAGCUGACCUUCAUGGAGAUGGACAUCGAGUCCCAGCCUGAGUGUGCCUACGACCACCUAGAGGUAUUCGACGGGCGAGACGCCAAGGCCCCCGUCCUCGGCCGCUUCUGUGGGAGCAAGAAGCCCGAGCCCGUCCUGGCCACAGGCAGCCGCAUGUUCCUGCGCUUCUACUCAGAUAACUCAGUCCAGCGAAAGGGCUUCCAGGCCUCCCACGCCACAGAGUGCGGGGGCCAGGUACGGGCAGACGUGAAGACCAAGGACCUUUACUCCCACGCCCAGUUUGGCGACAACAACUACCCUGGGGGUGUGGACUGUGAGUGGGUCAUUGUGGCCGAGGAAGGCUACGGCGUGGAGCUCGUGUUCCAGACCUUUGAGGUGGAGGAGGAGACCGACUGCGGCUAUGACUACAUGGAGCUCUUCGACGGCUACGACAGCACAGCCCCCAGGCUGGGGCGCUACUGUGGCUCAGGGGUGUCUUCUUCCAGAGACCUCCCCCAGGCUGAGUUGACCGGAAGGAACUUGGGGAAGGAUCAGGGGCUCCUGGCACAACUACUCGGAAUGUCCUCAAGGUUCUCAGAAAUGAUUUCUUCUGUGCCUGGAAGGCAGGGCGUUGACGUCCGAUGCUCUGAGGGCUGACCUCACUCAGUAGGCUUGCAGGAGGCACCUAAGAAGGGCUCGGGAGCAGACCUUGGCCAGCCUCCUGAGGAGGUGUACUCGGCGGGAGAUUCUGUCCUGGUGAAGUUCCACUCGGAUGACACCAUCACCAAAAAAGGUUUCCACCUGCGAUACACCAGCACCAAGUUCCAGGACACACUCCACAGCAGGAAGUGACCACUGCCUGAGCAGGGGCGGGGACUGGAGCCUGCUGCCCUUGGUCGCCUAGACUGGAUAGUGGGGGUGGGCGGAAGGCGACGCACCAUCCCUCUCCCCCAGGCCCCAGGACCUGCAGGGCCAAUGGCCUGGUGAGACUGUCCAUAGGAGGUGGGGGAACUGGACUCCGGCAUAAGCCACUUCCCCACAACCCCCCUACCAGCAAGGGGCUGGGGCCAGGGAGCAGAGCUUCCACAAGACAUUUCGAAGUCACCAUUCCUCUCUUAGGGGUCCCUGCCUGGUGGCAAGAGGGAAUGUCAGCAGGACCCCAUCGCCAUCCCUGUGUCUCUACACGCUGUAUUGUGUAUCACCGGGGGCAUUAUUUUCAUUGUAAUGUUCAUUUCCCACCCCUGCCCCAGCCUCGAUUUGGUUUUAUUUUGAGCCCCCAUUCCACCACCCCAGUUUCCUGGGGCACAAGUGUCUGUGCAUGUCCCCCAGGAGCCACUGUGGGGAGCCGAUGGGGAGGGGAUGGAGAAACAAGACAGGGCUUCUCUCAGGCCCAGUGGCCGGUCAGCCCCACCAGGGCACCGCAGCCAAUAAACCGAAAGUGUUACAGCCAA